rnacentral:tRNA from 1 species
CGGGACGUGGCUCAGUCAGGUAGAGCAUCCCGACAGGCGUGUCGGGAGGGCCGCAGUUCAAAUCCAGUCGUCCCGU